rnacentral:lncRNA from 1 species
GGGAGGAUUCAGCUGGCUCAUUUGAAGGCACUUGGGCAGCUUUAUAGAGAAGCCCACAGUGAUGAGACACUAAUGCCUCCAAGUGUGUGAGCCUCCUUAAAAGCAGAUUACUUAGCCCCAGCUAAGCCUUCAGCAUGCUCAUCUGUGUGAAGGUCUCAGAUCCUCUGGAGAUGGAAUUACAGACAGUGGUGAGCUGCCAUGUGAGUCUGAGACUUAAACCUUGGUCCUCUGGAGGAGCAGCCAGUGUUCUUAACCACCGAGCCAUCAGUCCAGCCCCAAGUUUUUGUUUGUCCUGUAACUCACUCUGUAGAUCGGGCUGGUAUCAAACUCACAGAAAUCUGCCUGCCUCUGCCUCCUGAGUGUUGGGAGUAAAGGUAUGCACCACCAUUGCCCAGAUAAUUUUUUUUUCAUUUUAAAAAUUUUUUGAGAUUAUAAUAUAAUUUUAUCGUUUCCUCCCUCCAUUUCUCCUCCAACCUUUCCUAUAAACAACACCCUCUUCCUCAGCUCUCAUUAAGAUUUAUGGCCUCUUUCCUUUAAUUGUUGUUGUUGGUGCUGAGGUGUGUUCCUAUGUACAUGCAACUUGCUCAGUUUGUAUAAUGUUACUUGUAUGUGCAGUUUUC